GACGAACGCUGGCGGCGUGCUUAACACAUGCAAGUCGAACGGAAAGGCCCUGCUUUUGUUGGUUGCUCGAGUGGCGAACAGGUGAGUAACACGUGAGUAACCUGCCCUUGACUUUGGGAUAACUUCAGGAAACUGGGGCUAAUAUCGGAUAGGAGCUCCUGCUGCAUGGUGGGGGUUGGAAAGUUUCGGCGGUUGUGGAUGUACUCGCGGGUUAUCAGCUUGUUUGUGGGGUAGUGGCUGACCAAGGCUUUGACGGGUAGCCGGCCUGGGAGGGUGACCGGCGUCAUUGGGACUGAGAUACGGCCCAGAAUGCAACCGGAGGCAGCAGUGGGGAAUUUUGCGCAAUGGGCGGAAGCCUGAUGCAGAAACGCCGCGUGCGGGAUGACGGCCUUCGGGUUGUAAACCGCUUUCGCCUGUGACGAAGCGUGAGUGACGGUAAUGGGUAAAGAAGCAACGGCUAACUACGUG
rnacentral:rRNA from 1 species